CGUGCUUUUCCGCUAUUAACUUCAUGGUAAACUCAAUGCAUAGCUGGGAAAUUAAUUCUCCAAUGGCAUAGUUUCAGAAACAACUCCCUCAGCUUCUCUCUGUCAGUCAGUGACACUAGCCUGUUUGUGGUCAUUCUUCUGUAUGUGGUUUUGCACAAGAGCAUUACUCAAAUCCAGACAACAAUUCUCAUCUUCUUCUGCCCCACAGGGAUUGGGACAUCUAUGGUGUAAAAGACAUUUGGUUUCCCACAAGGUUUCAUCAGUCCUCCAUCCACCUAUAAGUAGAGGGACCUCUCCUUCCCCAGACAACUGCUCUUCCACUUGGCUUCAGGCAUCUCCAGGAUUCCCACCAACCUCCAGCCAUGAAGAUCUUCUGCCUCCUCUCUCUCGCCUUCCUCCUCCUGAUGCUGGUGGCUCCAGAUUUCACCGGAGCUCAACGUCCCACCCAGGAUUGCCAGAACAAUGGGGGCAGCUGCAGAAAAACCUGCAACAAAGGCGAGAAAGAGAUUGGGAAGUGUUCGGGAGACAGGCGUUGCUGCAAGCGCAGCUAAGCAGACCCAUCAUGCACCAUCUCUGACGAAAGGAAGACCACCCCGUUUCUUCUCUGGAGAUGCAGCUGCCUUGACUGCACCUCUGCAGAAAUCUCUUUGCUCACUGCUGCUACUGCUGAAGGCGCUUCUGGGAAGGAUCCAUCCCUGCCCAAUCCUUUCUGCCCGUUUACUCCAAAGCAGGUCCUGCUGUGCUCAGUGAGGCUGGCAUCUUUGUAACUGGGUUUGGAUUGGAUUCGCCUGCUCAUUUGCUUUAGCUUUUCCUUUCAAUAAAUGCAAGCAUUGGAA
rnacentral:lncRNA from 1 species